GAUGAACGCUGGCGGCGUGCCUAAUACAUGCAAGUCGAGCGAACGGACGAGACUCUUGCUUUUCUGAUGUUAGCGGCGGACGGGUGAGUAACACGUGGAUAACCUACCUAUAUGACUGGUAUAACUUCGGGAAACCGGAGCUUAUCCCGGAUAAUAUUUUGAACCGCAUGGUUCAAAAGUGAAAUACGGUCUUGCUGUCACUUAUAGCUGGAUCCGCGCUGCAUUAGCUAGUUGGUAAGGUAACGGCUUACCAAGGCAACGAUGCAUAGCCGACCUGAGAGAGGGAUAGGCGGCACUGGAGGUGGGACACGGUCCAGACGACUACGAGAGGCAGCAGAAGGGAAUCUGACGCAAUGGGCGAGAGCAUGACGGAGCAGCGCCGCGUGAGUGAUGAAGGUCUUCGGAUCGUAAAACUCGGUUAUGAGGGAAGAACAUAUGUGGAAGGAAAUGAGCACAUAGUGACGGUACCGAAUCAGAAAGCCACGGCUAACUACGUG
rnacentral:rRNA from 1 species